AUUUAAACAAAUAUGUCAAUUGUUUACAUUAAAACUUUGAAUUUUUUAAAUUAGAUAAAACGUUUGAAACAACUAGGUGGAGGAACACCAUCGCAGCUUGUCAGCAAGUGCAUCAAUCAGACUCUUGAUAAGAGUGUACAAGCCCAGUUCAACAAAACAGGAAGUAAUGGGAAACGUGCUUUUAAAAAGACGCUACUCUGCAAAGCAAUUUUAGCUGCAUUAGUAUCAGAUGUGAAUUCAGCAAAAGUUAUUGAUUCGUUCAUUGGUGAACAAUUAAAGCGAGCACCUCGAGCCCUUGAAAAUGAGCUAGAUAAGUUUUUGUAAUUUUUUUUUAAAGGAGGAAUUAUGUUUGUAUUUUUAGUUUGUAAAAUAAUGAGCAUUUCUUA